GAUGAACGCUGGCGGCGUGCCUAACACAUGCAAGUCGAACGGACAGACGAUGAGCUUGCGCGUUGCACGUGAGCGGCACACGUGUGAGAAACACGUGUGUCCUGUACCUAUAAUACUGGGAUAACCUGGUAACACCGGCUCUUACCCGAGAGAAGAUUUCGAAGCGCGUGGUUCGUUGGUGAAAUUCGGCGGUGCUAUCACUUAUAGCUGGUCCUGGGCCGUAUGAGCUAGUUGGUAAGGUAAUGGCUUACCAAGGCAACGAUACGUAGCCGACCUGAGAGGGUGAUCGGCCACACUGGAACUGAGACACGGUCCAUGCUCCUACGGGAGGCAGCAGUAGGGAAUGUUCGGCAAUGGGCGAAAGCCUGACGGAGCAACGCCGCGUGAGUGAUGAAGGCCUUCGGUUCGUAAAGCGCUGUUAUUAGGGAAGAACAGAUGUGUACGUAAAUGUGCACGUCUUGACGGUACCUGAUCAAAAAGCACCGGCUAACUACGUG
rnacentral:rRNA from 1 species